GAGAUUAUUGUGAGGAUUACUAAUUUGCAAAAUAUAAUUGUCGUGUACUUUGUGUUGCAUGAGCAACUUAAAUAGUUUAGUCAGUUUUUGAAGGCUUCGGAUACAGUGAAGAAAGAAGGUAAGAAUUUAUCUCUAAAAUUACUUUCUUUGGUCUUCUUCCCUACACGUCUCGCAUGUAUUAUAUUUAUCUGUAACGAUGAAGAUUGAAGAGAUUGUGAUUAAUUUCAUUUUUUGUUGUAGGCUGCGAUAAUUCAAAAGUUGAAAGACAAUGGAAUUCAAUAGUUACAGCCAUUGAUGGCUGAUUUCGUCAAUUGAAAUUUUUGGCAGCACUUUCAUAGCUGUGUUUCUUUACCUUUACUAAAUAUACCGUAAAAUAGCUUUUAGUGUAAAAAUGUUAAUAGAAUUCGGGCUAAUGCGAUUGAGUACGAAAUUAAAAUAAGAAUGACAAAUGUUGUUGAGCUAAAUAGCACAAACCCAAUGAGUGCAUUAAAAAGUAGAGAAUUAAUAAUAUUGUUUUGGAAUUUAAAAAAAAGAAGCCUACAGCACCCCGGAUUCCCAUGUUGUCUCCAACCAUAGUACUAACGAGGCCCUCAGACGCUUAACUGCAGUGAUCGGACGGGAACUGGUGUUUUCGCCUAGGUAUGGCCGUAGACGACUUGUUCUUAUAAUUGCACUAUAUAUAUUAUUCCAAUAUAAAAGAGAUACUCUAAUGUUAUAUACUAAACUCUUUUGUCAAUGAACUGUAAAAUUUUUAAUAUCCAUAUUCUUAUACUUUGCACGAGAUGUACAAUUAUUGAAAUCUUGUCUGUACGAAUUUAAUUUAGGAAAUAUUUUAAAAAAGCUAGCCAAAUU